UUCUUCUACCUGCAGAAUUGCAAUCCCUAAUCCCAAAAUCAAAAUCCCCAUUGUCAUUGUUAGCCAAUACCCACUUGCGAUUCCGGUUCAUUCUCCAAUACCCACUUGCAAUCUUAUCUAAAGAUUCAAUUUUUGAACCCAAUUCUGUGUGAGAAAGAAGAGCAAUCAAGAGAUUUAGGGUUUCAUUCGAAAAUGGUGAUCAGGCUUGAAGAUUUGAGGAAUAACGAGUCCUUUCUCUGUGGGUCUUUCAUGAAAUUGGUUUCUGAAGCAAAAGCCCUAUCCAGCGACCCAUCAGAGCAACAGGUGAUUCUGACCCAGAUGGUUUUGAAGGAUUUGAUGAUGAGUAAGAACAAAACAGAAGCGGCUUUCCCACUUGGGUUUCCAAAGAAGAAGAGGUCUGGAUCAAGAGGGAUGCCAAAGCAGAGUCCGAAGAGUCUGAGAUUCAUCAUCAAAUUCAAACGCUGUGUGUCUGAAACUCCAGGAUUUGAAAUUGAGAUUGAAGUGCAAGAAGAGGUGCUACUCUGAAAUCAAACAGGUAGGCAGUGAAGGUUUCUGUGGAAUGGACCGGAAAAGGCUGCGAAAUGGGAAAGAACACUAAGAGGGUACUCCUAAAAGUACCAUUGGUAGAAAGUCAAGGAUCAGACAACCUAAAGCCAAGAGUAAGAUCAAUAGCGAGAGGUGAGAAGAUAGAGAUCAAGAUCAAUAUUUCCAGUUUUGAUUCACCCUGGAUAAUCUGCGUUCGUUUAGUACCUUUGAGUCUUUGAUUUACACUUAAAUCAACUUGUGUAGUCUUUGUUCUGUACGUGUGUGUAUACUUAGUUAUGAGUGUCAAGGUUCAUUGUUUAGUCCUUGUUGUAUAUGUGCGUGUGUACUUAGUUAUCAUGUCAUUCUUGACCUUACUCCAUUUUGCCAAUCUUGCAGUUUAUGCUCAAUAGUAAUUCAAUGAAACAACUUUCAAUUUUCCAGUAUGGUUUUUGUUUUAUUAAUAAUUUCUCUAUUUGCCCAAAUCUCUUUCAGAUUAUUCUCGAUUAUCUUCGUGUUCCGGGCUACAUCCAGGUUUCCUCUUAUGUUUACCUGUUAUGUUAGCUUACAUGUGUGCUUGUAGUUUUGGACUAGUCUUGUUCAUUGCUUUCAAUGAUAAAUCUUUGUUAAAUCACCUUGUAAUUGUGACAACUGAUACAUACAAAUUAGCUUAUGAGUCAAGAUGUUACUGACACAUACAAAUUAGCUUAUGGGUCAAGAUGUUUUGUGAUUUUUAUCAACGGUGCAGGAGGGCCUGCUUGUGUUAUGCAAGUCAAAUUAGUUGCAGCUGGACUUUCUGUUUAGGAUGAAAAUGUUUAGUUCAACAUCAGUGUUUUUACCGCAGGACUGGGGGAAUGUGGGUUCAAUAUAGUACUGCAGUUUUAGAAAUGACUCAUUUAUUUUGAUACUGAUUAAUGGAUAUGCUUUACUUUUAACAACAUUAGUUCCAGUUUUCAAAGGGUUUUUGUGUUUGAAAUCAGGUUGGCUAUAUUUCCAUUUUUUUCAAUGAAGAUAGGUACUCUCACCAAAAAAUAUUUACUGCAUAAAGCUUUCUUGGAUUAAGGAAUGCUAAAAUUCCCACCCAAACUGAUAACUGGAUCAGCUACUGUCCUUCCUAUUGUAUUGUGCAGAUGUGCUUAUGAAAGAAGCUCGAUAAUUCUUAUUAAAGUUUUGCCAAAAUAUUUAUAAUGAUAAACUCAAUUGCAUUUUGCAUCAGCACCUUGGCAAAUCUAUGGUUUCUUAAUAUAACCAAUUACUCAUCUUCAGCAGACAAUGAUAAAAAAGUUUAUAGUUUUUGAGUACAUGUUGCCUGUUGGGGCAUCAAGAUCAAGAUCCAGAUCAAGUCUAAUAUGAAUAACUUUCCUGUCUUCUUGUUAAGCUGGUAUUUAGUCUUUGACUUGUAAUUAGGUCGAGUCUAUUAUGUCUCUGUUCUUAGGUAGCUGCAGCAAUACUCAAUGUAGCUUAAAGCUCUGGUGAGUAGUCUAUUUCAUUGUCUUAUUAUUGCAUGUUCUGUUGGAAUGUAAUUUGACGAACCAUUAUUCACUUUUUCGUGAUUUAAUUUUGAAUAUUUACAUUUGCAAAGAUGUCAUAGAUAUGCACCUCGUACAGCACCCAAUUAUUAUUUUUCACCAGUAUGUGAGCAUAAUAUGCUCCUUAUUACACUAGGAUUAUCAGAUUUUUGAAUUCGUCACUUUUUUUUGUCUUCAUGUUUAUUCUUGAUAAAAUCUAUAGCCGGUCAAUUUUAAUGUCCAGGUGUUGAACUACUAUAUGGCAGGAGAGCAGGAAGGUUUCACACCUAUAUGUCGAAUCUUUUGUACUAUACAACUUCCUCGAAAUAAAUCUUCCAGACAUAUGAGAGUUCAGCUGUCCUCUGGUCAGUCUUUUUAUCAUGGAUAAUUGUGUUGGAUGUUCUAUUAGACAUAAUAUGAUGCAAAUUUCCAGGCCAUUUAUAAAACUUCAACACCACUGCUCUCGCAGUGAGUACAUAAAGAUCUACCAUAUGGCAGGAGAUCAGGAAGGUUUAUGUGUACUUGGCCCUUACCUUUUUGUUAUUGUUUAGGUUCUAGAUAGCUACAGGUUUUUGAACUAGUGAAAUUCCUUAAGAUGAGGCUUGGAUCAUCAUUUUAGUGAAACGAUCCUCUUUGUAAUUAACUGAACGUUUUUUAACUCUAAUAUUAUCUGAAUAAAGUGCUUGUACUUGUCCAUGA